GGUAACGUGAAGCAAGCUUGCUUGCUUUGACGACGACCGGCGCACGGGUGAGUAACGCGUAUCCAACCUGCCCCCUUACUACGGGACAGCCCGGCGAAAGUCGGAUUAAUACCGUAUGUGGUGUGAAGAGGGCAUCUGACUUACACUAAAGAUUCGUCGGUAAGGGAUGGGGAUGCGUCCGAUUAGGUUGUCGGCGGGGUAACGGCCCACCGAGCCCGCGAUCGGUAGGGGUUCUGAGAGGAAGGUCCCCACACUGGAACUGAGACACGGUCCAGACUCCUACGGGAGGCAGCAGUGAGGAAUAUUGGUCAAUGGGCGAGAGCCUGAACCAGCCAAGUAGCGUGAGGGAAGACUGCCCUAUGGGUUGUAAACCUCUUUAGUCUGGGAAUAACAGUUGGCGACGAUGUCGCCUUUUGUAGGUACCAGAAGAAUAAGGACCGGCUAAUUCCAGUGCCAGCAGCCGCGGUAAUACGGAAGGUCCGGGCGUUAUCCGGAUAUUAUUGGGUUUAAAGGGAGCGCAGGCGGCCUGUUAAGCGGGCAGUUAAAGGCGGUGGCUCAACCAUCGUUAGCUGUCCGAACUGCCAGGCUUGAGUACGUGCGAGGUAUGCGGAAUUCGUGGUGUAGCGGUGAAAUGCUUAGAUAUCACGAAGAACCCCGAUUGCCGAAAGGCAAGCAUACCAGUGCGCCACUGACGCUAAAGCUCGAAAGCGCGGGGUUAUCGAACAAGGAUUAGAUACCCCUGGGUAGUCCCGCCCGGUAAACGGAUGGAUGCCCGCUGUGCGGCCUUUAGUGGUUGCGCGGCCAAGCGAAAGCGUUAAGCAUCCCACACUGGGUGACGGAGCGCCGGCAACGGGUGAAACUCAAAGGAAUUGACSGGGGCCCGCACAAGCGGAGGAACAUGUGGUUUAAUUCGAUGAUACGCGAGGAACCUUACCCGGGCUUGAAUUGCAGCUGCAUGGGGCAGAGAUGUCCCUUCCCUUCGGGGCUGCUGUGAAGGUGCUGCAUGGUUGUCGUCAGCUCGUGCCGUGAGGUGUCGGCUUAAGUGCCAUAACGAGCGCAACCCCCCUCCCCGGUUGCCAAUCGGGUAAUGCCGGGCACUCCGAGGACACUGCCACCGCAAGGUGUGAGGAAGGUGGGGAUGACGUCAAAUCAGCACGGCCCUUACGUCCGGGGCUACACACGUGUUACAAUGGCAGGCACAAGAGAGCAGGCAUUCCGCAAGGCAUGUCGAAUCCUUAAAUCCUGCCUCAGUUCGGACUGGGGUCUGCAACCCGACCCCACGAAGCUGGAUUCGCUAGUAAUCGCGCAUCAGCCAUGGCGCAGGUGAAUACGUUCCCGGGCCUUGUACACACCGCCCGUCAAGCCAUGAAAGCCGGGGGCGCCUGAAGUCCGUGACC
rnacentral:rRNA from 1 species